rnacentral:rRNA from 1 species
AUUAGAGAGUUUGAUCCUGGCUCAGGAUGAACGCUGGCGGCGUGCCUAACACAUUCAAGUCGAACGGAGUUAAUUUGGAAGCUUGCUUUCGGAUUAACUUAGUGGCGGACGGGUGAGUAAUGCAUGAGCAACCUGCCUUAAAGAGGGGGAUAACACGGUGAAAACCGUGCUAAUACCGCAUGUUUUAUGUUGAGGGCAUCCUCGAUAUAAUAAAGGAGCAAUCCGCUUUAAGAUGGGCUCAUGUCUGAUUAGAUAGUUGGUGAGGUAACGGCUCACCAAGUCUACGAUCAGUAGCCGGACUGAGAGGUUGAACGGCCACAUUGGAACUGAGAUACGGUCCAGACUCCUACGGGAGGCAGCAGUGGGGAAUAUUGGGCAAUGGGCGAAAGCCUGACCCAGCAACGCCGCGUGAAGGAAGAAGGUCUUCGGAUUGUAAACUUCUUUUAUAAGGGAAGAACUAUGACUGUACCUUAUGAAUAAGCCACGGCUAACUACGUGCCAGCAGCCGCGGUAAUACGUAGGUGGCAAGCGUUAUCCGGAUUUACUGGGUGUAAAGGGUGAGUAGGCGGGUAGACAAGUCAGAUGUGAAAUGCAGGAGCUCAACUCCUGAACUGCAUUUGAAACUGUAUAUCUUGAGUGUCGGAGAGGUAAUUGGAAUUCCCAGUGUAGCGGUGAAAUGCGUAGAGAUUGGGAGGAACACCAGUGGCGAAGGCGGAUUACUGGACGACAACUGACGCUGAGGCACGAAAGUGUGGGGAGCAAACAGGAUUAGAUACCCUGGUAGUCCACACCGUAAACGAUGAAUACUAGGUGUAGGCGAGAAAUCGUCUGUGCCGCAGUUAACACAAUAAGUAUUCCACCUGGGGAGUACGGCCGCAAGGUUGAAACUCAAAGGAAUUGACGGGAGCCCGCACAAGCAGUGGAGUAUGUGGAUUAAUUCGACGCAACGCGAA